rnacentral:rRNA from 1 species
UCCUGGCUCAGGAUGAACGCUGGCGGCGUGCUUAACACAUGCAAGUCGAACGGUGCUUAAUGAAACCUAGUGAUUAUGCACAGUGGCGGACGGGUGAGUAACGCGUGGGUAACCUGCCGCAUGCAGGGGGACAACAGAGGGAAACUUCUGCUAAUACCGCAUAAGCGCACGGGAUCGCAUGAUCCGGUGUGAAAAAGAUUUGUCGGCAUGCGAUGGACCCGCGUCUGAUUAGGCAGUUGGUGAGGUAACGGCCCACCAAACCUACGAUCAGUAGCCGGCCUGAGAGGGUGAACGGCCACAUUGGGACUGAGACACGGCCCAAACUCCUACGGGAGGCAGCAGUGGGGAAUAUUGCACAAUGGGGGAAACCCUGAUGCAGCCGACGCCGCGUGAGUGAAGAAGCAUUUCGGUGCGUAAAGCUCUGUCAGCAGGAAAGAAAAUGACGGUACCUGACCAAGAAGCCCCGGCUAACUACGUGCCAGCAGCAGC